rnacentral:rRNA from 1 species
GACGAACGCUGGCGGCGUGCUUAACACAUGCAAGUCGAACGGUAAGGCCCUUCGGGGUACACGAGUGGCGAACGGGUGAGUAACACGUGGGUGAUCUGCCCUGCACUUCGGGAUAAGCCUGGGAAACUGGGUCUUAUACCGGAUAGGACCACUGCCUGCAUGGGUGGUGGUGGAAAGCUUUUGCGGUGUGGGAUGGGCCCGCGGCCUAUCAGCUUGUUGGUGGGGGGAUGGCCUACCAAGGCGACGACGGGUAGCCGGCCUGAGAGGGUGACCGGCCACACCGGGACUGAGAUACGGCCCAGACUCCUACGGGAGGCAGCAGUGGGGAAUAUUGCACAAUGGGCGCAAGCCUGAUGCAGCGACGCCGCGUGAGGGAUGACGGCCUUCGGGUUGUAAACCUCUUUCAGCACCGACGAAGCGCAAGUGACGGUAGGUGCAGAAGAAGGACCGGCCAACUACGUGCCAGCAGCCGCAGUAA